rnacentral:rRNA from 1 species
ACUCGAGUGGCGAACGGGUGAGUAACACGUGGGUGAUCUGCCCUGCACUUCGGGAUAAGCUUGGGAAACUGGGUCUAAUACCGGAUAGGAGCCAUCCUUAGUGUGGUGGUUGGAAAGUUUUUCGGUGUAGGAUGAGCUCGCGGCCUAUCAGCUUGUUGGUGGGGUAGUGGCUUACCAAGGCUUUGACGGGUAGCCGGCCUGAGAGGGUGGACGGCCACAUUGGGACUGAGAUACGGCCCAG